GCCAGCAUGGUGUAGUGGUUUGAGUGUUGGACUACAAAUAUCAGAAAACCAGGGUUCGAUUCCCUUCUUGGCC